AGAGUUUGAUCAUGGCUCAGAUUGAACGCUGGCGGCAGGCCUAACACAUGCAAGUCGAGCGCGAAAAGCCUUCGGGCUGAGUAAAGCGGCGGACGGGUGAGUAACGCGUAGGAAUCUACCUGGUAGUGGGGGACAACUUGGGGAAACUCAAGCUAAUACCGCAUACGCCCUAAGGGGGAAAGCGGGGGACCUUCGGGCCUCGCGCUAUCGGAUGAGCCUGCGUAGGAUUAGCUAGUUGGUGGGGUAAAGGCCCACCAAGGCGACGAUCCUUAGCUGGUCUGAGAGGAUGAUCAGCCACACUGGAACUGAGACACGGUCCAGACUCCUACGGGAGGCAGCAGUGGGGAAUAUUGCGCAAUGGGCGAAAGCCUGACGCAGCCAUGCCGCGUGUGUGAAGAAGGCCUUAGGGUUGUAAAGCACUUUCAAUUGGGAAGAAAAGUUUGUCGUUAAUAGCGCCAAGCUCUGACAUUACCUUUAGAAGAAGCACCGGCUAACUCCGUGCCAGCAGCCGCGGUAAUACGGAGGGUGCGAGCGUUAAUCGGAAUUACUGGGCGUAAAGCGCGCGUAGGCGGUUUGUUAAGUCAGCUGUGAAAGCCCCGGGCUCAACCUGGGAACUGCAGUUGAUACUGGCCGACUAGAGUACGAGAGAGGGAGGUAGAAUUCCAUGUGUAGCGGUGAAAUGCGUAGAUAUAUGGAGGAAUACCAGUGGCGAAGGCGGCCUCCUGGCUCGAUACUGACGCUGAGGUGCGAAAGUGUGGGGAGCAAACAGGAUUAGAUACCCUGGUAGUCCACGCCGUAAACGAUGUCUACUAGCCGUUGGGAGACUUGAUCUCUUAGUGGCGCAGCUAACGCAAUAAGU
rnacentral:rRNA from 1 species